UACAGGGGGUGCAAACGUUGCUCGGAAUUAUUGGGCGUAAAGCGCGCGUAGGCGGCUACCUAAGUCGGAUGUGAAAGCCCCUGGCUUAACUGGGGAAGUGCACCCGAAACUGGGUAGCUAGAGUGCAAAAGAGGGUCGCGGAAUUCCAGGUGUAGCGGUGAAAUGCGUAGAUAUCUGGAGGAACACCGGUGGCGAAGGCGGCAUCCUGGACCGAUAUUGACGCUGAUGCGCGAAAGCCAGGGGAGCAAACGGG
rnacentral:rRNA from 1 species